GACGAACGCUGGCGGCGCGCUUAACACAUGCAAGUCGAGCGAGAACCAGGGCUUCGGCCCUGGGGACAGCGGCGAACGGGUGAGUAACACGUGGGUAAUCUGCCCUCGGUUCUGGGAUAGCCCGGGGAAACCCGGAUUAAUACCGGAUGGCCUCUCGAGCUUUCGGGCCUGAGAGAAAAGGUGCUUCGGCCUCCGACCGAGGAUGAGCCCGCGGCCGAUUAGCUUGUUGGCGGGGUAACGGCCCACCAAGGCGACGAUCGGUAGCUGGUCUGAGAGGACGAUCAGCCACACUGGGACUGAGACACGGCCCAGACUCCUACGGGAGGCAGCAGUGGGGAAUCUUGCGCAAUGGGCGAAAGCCUGACGCAGCGACGCCGCGUGC
rnacentral:rRNA from 1 species